UUGGGAGUCACUGAUCUGUCCCAAAACGCACAAAAUGAAGGAAAAAUACACACUGGUUAUGAAUUAAAGAGCCCAUCAGUUACCUUGAAACAGACAUGUGCAGGAUGCCAAUGAAUUAGUCAGCAAAAAGCUCUCAGUUAAUCUCAGAGCGGCAGACAGGCCUAUGCUGAUGUGAACCACAUACAAACCCUCACGCCCAGACACUGCUGUCAUUAAUGGCAAUGUGUGAUCCUGUAGCCACAAGACUAAAUGGCUUCUCAUGCCAUGGAGGACAAGAGGACAGAGCCAGGCCUGUGACAUGAGGACAAACGGCAGUUAACCCAGUCGUUACCACAAUCAGGGCCUGGAUUUCAGGAGGCCAAAGAGCAGUCACCGUCCGUGACGUCAGAGAAGCCCAAUGCAGCAAACAUGUGCUGUACUAUGGAGGUGCUCGGCUGACUCGUCAGAGACCCCGCGACGGCUGCAGCGAGAGGCGUGAGCAGGACUCGAAAUUGCAGAGCUGGCUGCACCUUAACGGAAACUCACCCACAGCUAAACGGCCACGUGGGAGACCAGACUGAGAUGAAGAGCGACGAUGAUGAGGAGCCUAGUAAAAACGGUGUGUGAAUAAAAAGAGUUUCUGCAUGGAGCACUGCUGUUUAAAGGUUGGCCUCCUCAAAAUCCCGCUCAGAGCACGGACACCAAG